GUUUUAAUAAUUUAAAUAAAAUAUUAGUCUUGUAAACUAAAAUUAGGAACCCCUUUAAAACU
rnacentral:tRNA from 1 species